CCUCUUUUAUUUCCUCUUUGCUGUCUUGCAGUCUGCGAUCCCGAUCCGAGCGAGAAGACUCAACUACAACUUUCCCACAAGCGAGGUGGACAGGUUUGUGAGAAACUCCUUCUACAGGGGCUCCCUGACCCAGAGGACCCCAGUGGCUCAGCCCAAGACCAAGGCCACCUGUGCGAAACCAGUCAUGAUGCAGGACCAAUGAGGAGGAGGCUGAGCAUCAUGUGACCACAUUUGUCAUUAAGCUGAUGUUAAACAGCAGAGAGCGUCAGCUGUGCCUACAUUUAUAUUUAUAUUAGUUGUGCUAUUUUACUGGGAUUGAUACCACACUGUAUGCACUAAUGUUGCCUGACCUGCAUCUUAGUGUGUACUCAGCCAUUAAUGCACAUAGAUAGAUAGAUAGAUAUGUACUUUAUUAAUCCCCAAGGGGAAAUUUGUCGUAACAGUAGCAGCACCAAUAAACUAAACACACAAGAAUAAAAAAUAAAAUAUAAAAAACAGGGAUGAAAGAUAAAGAUGUAUACAAGUGAAAUAUAUAGAUGUAUACAAGAAGUAUACAAAGUAAAACAUAAAAUAAAAUAUAUAUGUAUAUAUACAACAUAUAUGCAUACACACUACACAAUACAAUACUAAUGACAAAUUAAAUUAAAUAUUAAAUAUAGACAGUGUGCAAAAUGCAAAGUGUGUGUAUGUGUGUAGUGUAAAUGAAAAUAAAAUGUGUGUGUAUGUGUGUAGUGUAAAUAAAUAAAUGAAAUGUGUGAAGUGCAGAUCAA